rnacentral:rRNA from 1 species
CCUACGGGAGGCAGCAGUGGGGAAUAUUGCACAAUGGGGGAAACCCUGAUGCAGCAACGCCGCGUGAGUGAUGACGGUCUUCGGAUUGUAAAGCUCUGUCUUCAGGGACGAAAAUGACGGUACCUGAGGAGGAAGCCACGGCUAACUACGUGCCAGCACCCGCGGUAAU